rnacentral:misc_RNA from 1 species
CCUUUGCCAUUUUCAGCUACCAUAUGAAGAAGCCAUGAAUACAACUUCUCUUGCAUUGCCUUCUGAAGAACCUGCCAUUUUAUUUCAUCUUGGGACAGAUGUCUCUCUGAGGUUCGUUCCGCAAUUUGGCAACCUUCAUCUUCCUCCCUCAAUAAAAUGAUCUCACUGACUAACUUCUGUUUCUCUGUAGCACCAUCAAAGAGACAGUCUGGAGGACUGGA